UGAAAUUUUCUAUUUUCCCUCCUCUCAAAUUGCACGGGAGUUUUUGUCACGGGUUUCACUUUCCACCGAGUUCUCUCUCCAUUCACUUCCUUUUCUCCAUCUCAACAAAGCUCUGCCUUCUCUCCCUUUAAACAAAGCCUCGCUGAAGCACCUAUUAGACAGAUCCAGUUUUUUGGUGUGAAGAGGGUGUGAUAUUUUUUCAGAUUCGGUUUUUCAGAUCCAGUUUUUUCAGAUCCGGUUUUUCAGAUCCAAUUUUUUCAGAUCCAGUUUUUUUUCAGAUUCAGUUCAUCAAAAAUGUAUUUGGUAGAUUGACCCGAUUGUCCAGUAUGCUGCUCUAGCGUACUUGCUUGGAGUUGAGCUAGGAAUUACAAGAAGACAAUAGAUUUAUGAUAGUUGCUGGAAUGGUGCAUAUGAUUCAUAAAUGUAAUAUUAGCACAAUAUAACAAACACAAAUUCAGGGAGGGAGCAAACUUUGCUGCUAGGGUAGUGAGCAGUUUUACAUUGGUGGGAGGAGACUUGUCAAAGAUUUUCAGUUUUGGACUAGCAUAGGACCUUGGCAGUGGAGUGGAGAGUUACAAGGACAAAUCUUUAAUCAUUUAGCUUAUCAGGGAUAUUGGAGCUGUUGAGUAAACAGCUCUGGUCAGAGAUCAAAUUUAUUGUUAAUUCUAUUAUUCAUAAAUUUUAUUUUCUGCUGCUACCACUUCUAUGAUUCAUAAAUUUAGUUUAAAAAGAUUUACUUUUGUAAGCCGACUAUGAUAAUUAGUGUAUAGUUUUAAUUUGUAUGACAGGUUAGUAACUGAGAUAUUUAUUUUUGUUAUAUCUAAAAAAAUAUCUGUUACUAUUUCAUACAAAUACUCUUGAAUAAAAAAAUAUUCAUAUUUAAACUAUUAAGAUUUUAAAUUUUUUUACACAAAUUUUAAUUUUAUUUAUUAGUUUAAUACAUUAAGGUAAGGUUU